rnacentral:tRNA from 1 species
UGUGGCUCAAUGGAAGAGUAUCUGCCUGGCAUACAGAAGGUCUCUGGUUCAAAGCCCCGUGUUUCCAGUGAAAAA